AAAUAAACAGCCACAAACUUGCCAAGAGGAAAAGAUCAUUCACACACACACACACACACGCAUACACACACAGCGACACACACACAGACACAGACACACACACACACACACACACGCAUACACACACACAGACACACACACACACAGACACACACACAUACACACACACAUACACACACACACCUACACACACACAGACACACAGACACACACACACACAGACACAGACACACACACAGACACACACAGACACACACACACAGACACACACAGACACAGACACAUACACACACAUACACAGACACAUACACACACAUAGACACACAUAUACACAGACACACAUACACACACACAGGCACACACACACAGACACAGACACACACAGACCACACACACAGACAACACACAGACACAUACACACACACAGGCACACACACACACGCAUACACACACACAUACACAGACACACAGACACAUACACACACAGACACACACACACACAGACACACAGGCACACACACAGGCACACACACACACACAGACACACACAUACACAGACACAUACACACACAUACACACACACACCACACACACAGACACCACACACACACAGGACACACACAUACACACACAUAGACACACACACCGACACAUACACACACACAGACACCACACACACACACACCACAGACACACACACACCACACACACACACCUACACACACACAGACACACACAUACACACAGACACACACAGACACACAUACAUAGACACACACAGACACACACACACAGACACACACAGACCACACAGACACACAGACACAUACACACACAUAGACACACAUAGACACAGACACACAUACACACACAUACACACACACAGGCACACACACACACAGACACAGACACACACAGACACACAUACACAGACACACACACAUACACAGACACACAGACACAGACACACACAUACACAGACACACACACAGACACACACAUACACAUACAUACACACACAUACACAGACACAUACACAGACACACAGACACACAUACACAGACACACACACACACACAGACACAUACACAGACGCACACACACAUUCCGUAACAUGGUAGAAGCUAUAGCUUUUUCUGGGGAGUAGAGGGAGAUACUGUUUU
rnacentral:lncRNA from 1 species